GCGGCGGUAGUUCAGUUGGUUAGAAUAUCGGCCUGUCACGCCGGAGGUCGCGGGUUCGAGCCCCGUCCGCCGCG
rnacentral:tRNA from 2 species